UGCAUCCUGGGGGAUUGAGCUAAUAUCCGGCUCCGGCGUGCUUCUUGGUGGAGAGAUUGCUAAAGGAGUCAUCAGGACACGAGAUUUCAGCUGCAAAAAAUAAUGAAAGUAUACACAAGAUAUUCCAAUUUUAUUCUAUUCUGAAAGAGGGAAAAAAAAACAGUAAGUGCUUCUGAGACAAGCUGUGGAUUUGACCUCCUGCUGUAUGGCAGUUGUAGAGCAUGAGGGACCCUGAGCUGGCCCCUGAAUCACUGACUAUGCUGAGUUGGAAAGGACUCACAAGG